GAUGAACGCUAGCGGCAGGCUUAAUACAUGCAAGUCGUGGGGCAGCAUGAAGUAGCAAUACUUUGAUGGCGACCGGCAAACGGGUGCGGAACACGUACACAACCUUCCUUUUAGUGGGGAAUAGCCCAGAGAAAUUUGGAUUAAUACCCCGUAACAUAGCGAUGUGGCAUCACAUUUCUAUUAUAACUUCGUCGCUAGAUGAUGGGUGUGCGUAUGAUUAGAUAGUUGGCAAGGUAACGGCUCACCAAGUCUAAGAUCAUUAGCUGAUGUGAGAGCAUGAUCAGCCACACGGGCACUGAGACACGGGCCCGACUCCUACGGGAGGCAGCAGUAAGGAAUAUUGGUCAAUGGACGAAAGUCUGAACCAGCCAUGCCGCGUGAAGGAUUAAGGUCCUCUGGAUUGUAAACUUCUUUUAUAUGGGACGAAAAAAGGUCUUUCUAGAUCACUUGACGGUACCAUAUGAAUAAGCACCGGCUAACUCCGUGCCAGCCGCCGCCGUAACAC
rnacentral:rRNA from 1 species